rnacentral:rRNA from 1 species
CCUACGGGUGGCAGCAGUGGGGGAUAUUGCACAAUGGGGGGAACCCUGAUGCAGCGACGCCGCGUGGGUGAAGAAGCGCCUCGGCGCGUAAAGCCCUGUCAGCAGGGAAGAAAAUGACGGUAACUGAAGAAGAAGCCACGGCUAACUACGGGCCAACAGCCGCGGUAAUACGUAGGGGGCAAGCGUUAUCCGGAUUGACUGGGGGUAAAGGGGGCGCAGACGGCGAUGCAAGCCAGGAGUGAAAGCCCGGGGCGCAACCCCGGGCCUGCUUUUGGAACUGCGUGGCUAGAGUGCAGGAGGGGAAGGCGGAAUUCCUGGUGUAGCGGUGAAAUGCGUAGAUAUCAGGAGGAACACCGGUGGCGAAGGCGGCCUGCUGGACUGCAACUGACGUUGAGGCCCGAAAGCGUGGGGAGCAAACAGGAUUAGAUACCCUAGUAGUC